rnacentral:rRNA from 1 species
UUCCAGACUCCUACGGGAGGCAGCAGUGAGGAAUAUUGGUCAAUGGGCGAGAGCCUGAACCAGCCAAGUCGCGUGAGGGAUGACUGCCCUAUGGGUUGUAAACCUCUUUUGUAUGGGGGGAAUAAGCUUUACGAGUAGAGUGAUGACAGUACCAUACGAAUAAGCAUCGGCUAACUCCGUGCCAGCAGCCGCGGUAAUACGGAGGAUGCGAGCGUUAUCCGGAUUUAUUGGGUUUAAAGGGUGCGCAGGCGGCACGGCAAGCCGGCGGUCAAAUCGCGGGGCUCAACCCCGCCCAGCCGUCGGAACUGCCGGGCUAGAGUGGGCGAGAAGUGCGCGGAAUGCGUGGUGUAGCGGUGAAAUGCAUAGAUAUCACGCAGAACUCCGAUUGCGAAGGCAGCGCACCGGCGCCCUACUGACGCUCAGGCACGAAAGCGUGGGUAUCGAACAGGAUUAGAUACCCGAGUA